CCCUAGAUUUUUUAGAAUUUUUUUAUAUAAAAUCAUGUCAUCUAUUUAAAAAAGUUCUGCUGCUUUCUUUUUAAUUUAUAGGCCUUAUUUUUUUUUCUUGUGUUGCAUUCUCUAGUACUUCCGGCAUAACGCUGAAUAGAGGGGGAGUAGACAUGUUAUUUCUGAACUCAGAAAGCACUCAAUGUUUCAUUAAGCACAACAUUCACUGUUAAGACUUUAAACAAGAAAAGACCCAGUUGUCAAUAAUAUUUAUUAGAAGGACAGAGCGACAGUGACAAGGCAGAGACCCUUCACCUGCUGACUCACUCCACAACCGGGCUGACGCCAGGAGCCCAGACCUCCAUCUUAGUCUCCCUCACGGUGGCAGGUGCCCAAGUGCUUCCGUCAUCAACCCCUGCCUUCUUAGGCUCAUUAGCAGGGAGCUGGAUUGAAAGUGGAGUAGGGGAGACUCGAACUGGUACUCAGACCUGGGAUGCUGGCCUGGCAAGGGUGGUGGCUGAACCUGCCGUGCCUCGACACUGCCGCCCCCAGUGUUUUUGUGUGCCUGUUAGCAGAUUCUGUUAGUGUAUUGCAUUACAACUGCUGGCUUUCUAACAUGGAACCAAAGUUGUAACCCUGGCCUAAGUUCUACUUACUAAUAGCAUUUAUCCUUACAUAACGCUGAAUUUGGUUUUCUAAUAUUUCAUUGAGGAGUUUGCGUCUUUACUCAGGAUUUGUGAUUGUCUUUUUUUCUUGUGCCAGUCUCCUGAAGCAACCCGAACAGUGUGUCCUCUUUUCCUGAAGAGUAUAUGAGACUGGGGUUACAUUUUUCCAGAAGCCUUUGAUAUAACUUAUAUGUGAAGCUAGGACUUUUCCUCACUGAGAGGUUUUAAAUUAGGAAUUCAAUUUUGAAAAAGGAUCUAAGGCUAUUUGAAUUUUUGUAUCGUCCUUGUUAAUUUUGAUAAAGAUAAACUGUGACACAAAGGGAUUAAUUUGUCCAAAGUUGCAAAAAGAGAAAAUGAAAGAAUCGGGCUUCUGACCCCCUCUGCUGUAGCUGCCUUCAACACACAGAAACAGCUUGGGGCCGGUGCUGUGGCACAGCAGGUUAAUGCCCUGGCCUGAAGUGCCGGCAUCCUAUAUGGGCACCGGUUCAAGACACGGCUGCUCCGCUUCCCAUCCAACUCUCUGCUGUGGAUUGGAACAGCAGUAGAAGAUGGCGCAAGUCCUUGGGCCCCUGCACUCACGUGGGAGACUCAAAAGAAGCUUCUGGCUCCCGGCUUCGGAUCAGCGCAGCUCCAGCCAUUGUGGCCAAUUGGGGAAUAAACCAUCGGAUAGAAGACCUCUCUCUCUCUCUCUCCCUCUCUCUGCCUCUCCUCUCUCUGCCUCUCCUCUCUCUGUGUAACUCUGACUUUCAAGUAAAAUAAAUAAAUCUUAAAAAAAAAAAGAAAGAAAAAAGAGAAGAGCUUAUCUCAUGACCAACUACAGAAAGGGCUUAACAAGUAAUAAAAUGCUGUUGUUAAACAGAGAUUUCAGGGGGCCAGUUCUGUGGUGUAGUAGGUUAAACAUCCGCCUGCAGCACGAGCAUCCCAUAUGGGCUCUGGUUCGAGUCCCGGCUGCUCCACUUCCAAUCCAGCUCUCUGCUGUGGCCUGGGAAAGCAGUGGAAAAUGGCCCAAGUGCUUGGGCCCCUGCACCCACGUGGGAGACCUGGAAGAAGCUCCUGCCUCCAGGUUUUGGAUCUGUGCAGCUCCGGCAGUUGCAGCCAGUUGGGGAGUGAAUCAGUGGAUAGAAGUCCUCUCUCUCUGUUUCUCUCUCUGUGUAACUCUGACUUUCAAAUAAAUAGAUAAAUCUUUUUAAAAUGAUUUAUUUACUUGAGAGGCAGAGUUACAAAGAGAGGGAGAGACAGAGAAAGAGAUUUCCAUCCACUGGUUCACUCCCCAGAUGUCCACAAUGGUUGGAGCUGGGCUGAUCCAGAGUCAGGAGCCAGGAGCCAGGAGCUUCUUCCAGGUCUUCCACGUGGGUGCAGGGGCCCAAGGACUUGGGCCAUCUUCUACUGCCUUCCCAGGCCACAGCAGAGAGCUGGAUCAGGAGUGGAGCAGCCAGGUCUAGAAAAUGGCACCCACAUGGGAUGCCGGCACUGCAGGCGGUGGCUUUACCUGCUCCAUCACAGGGCAGGCCCCAGAAAUAAAUCUUAAAAAAAAAAUUAAACAAACAAAAAAACCAGAGAUUUCAGGAAUUGAGGCGGUGACCAUCUGGGUGUGUAAGGAAUGUUGACAAAAGUGGGCAAACCUGGAACAGAGAUGUCUAUGGGCUUCCUGUAUUUCGCUCUUCUUGCUUUGGGAAUGUUGAGUGACACCUGGCUGUCCAUGUGGGCAGGCGGAAAGAGCCAGGAUGGGAAGAGAGUGGGAAAUGCCCGCCGUGGUUAGAGGAAUGCCCUCGGGCCCACCUAUCAGCUGAGGAUGAGCGCAGCCGGAGGCAGUGCGCGAGGGCACAGUGAUGAGCUCUCAUUUGUCACGUGUCAGUUCGCGGAGGGGGCCUCAGGAUCUGGUGUCUAACAAGUCCUAGAAACCAGAAAGAACAAUCCGGCUCCCCCAACAGUGCCUCUUGCCCUUUCGCACGGGACUCUGUUUCAAUUUUCCCCGCGGAGCUGUGACAAGCCAACAGUCAGCAUCAUCGAUCCCAUUUUAUCCAUGAGGAGGCCCGAUUUGAGAAAUGAAAUGACCAGGCCCAAGGUCACUGAGCUGCUCAGUAACCGACCUGGGGCUUGAGUUCAACUCUUCCCUUUGGGUUCUGUACGUUAUCCCCAGUGAACUAAGCAGGCCGUGUGUUCUGCAGAACCCAUUUAUUUCUGUUCUCCAGUGUGUGUGCAUGCGUGCUAGACGCUUAAACAUUUGUGUUUAUGAGAUAAUUUCAUAUUCAGCUGCAGAAGCUAAAAGUGGCAGCCUUAUGUCUCUUUCUGGCCCGCCGGGGUGCCAGGUUUGUCAGGCUGAUAUGCUAGAUCUUGGGUGGUGUCAGGGGAAGACACCCACAGCCUUUGGUUAAAAGACUCUGAGACUUCAAGGACUGCGGCUGUCUGCGAGAGGCUGCCGUGCUCCGUGGGAUGUGAGGCUGUAGACAUUUCAAUCAGGCGCUCCACGGAGGGUCCAGGGCUGCAGAACACGGUGUAUCUCGGGACAGACGAUGCAAGGACCCAAGUAGAUGGACCCUCACCAGCACGUGAGCUCCUGGAGGAUGACUCCUGGGUAAGGGUGCCUUUUCAUCUCUCGUAAUUUACAUUCUGAGCUCUUACCUAGAAUAAAUCGUACUCUAUCUAAUUAGCCUGAUAAUCCACUUUGUUUAGAAUGGAGAGGGGGAAAUAUGUUGAUCUCCCUGUUAGCAGGAUAUGAAAUGUGCCCAAAGCAGAAUAUUUUUUCUAUCGUGCAUAACAUUAAUCGCUACCGUUCUUAAAAAUGAAUAACUAUUAUUCUGUGGCUUAGUGUUACCCUUUAUGGGUUUCCAGGUGACAAUUUAUUUCAGGAAGAAUUCUCACCAGAAAAUAUUCUUUUUUUUUAAGAUUUAUUUAUUUGAGAGGCAGAGUUACAGAGAGAGGGAGAGAAGGGGAGGGUGGGGAAAGGGAAGGAAGAUGGGAGAGAAAGAGAGAGAGAGAGAGAGAGAGGUCUUCCAUCCACUGGUUCACUCCCCAAAUGGCCGCAAUAGCCAUAGUUGAGCUGAUCCAAAGCCAGGAGCCAGGAGCUUCUUCCAGGUCUCCCACAUGGGUGCAGGGGCCCAAGGACUUGGGCCAUCUUCCACUGCUUUCCCAGGCCAUAACAGAGAAGUGGAUUGGAAGUGGAGCAGCUGGGACUUGAACUGGCACCCAUAUGGGAUGCUGGCCCCGCAGGUGGUGGCUUUACCCACUAAGCCACAGAGCUGGCCCCCAGAAAAAAAAAAGAUUUUUAAUUAUUUAUUUGGAAGUCGGAGUUACAGAGACAGAGACACAGAGAGAUCUUCCAUCCACUGGUUCACUCCUGGAAGCUGGGGUGUUGUGGUGGAGCAAGUAAAGCCACCACCUGAUGGCCUCCCAUAUGGAGCACAAGUUCCAAUCGUGGCUGCUCCUCUUCUGAUCCAUUUCCCUGCUAACAUGCCUGGGAGGCAGUGGAAGAUGGCCCAAGUGCCUGGGCCCCUACCACCCACAUGGGAGACCCAGAUGGAGCUUCUGGCUCAUAGCUUCAGCCUGGCCCAGCCCCCGCCAUUGUGGCCAUCUGGGGAGUGAACCAGUGAACAGAAAAUCAAUCUCUCUCUCUCUCUCUCUCUCUCUCUCUCUCUCUCUCUCUCUUCCUCCCUCUGUUGCUCUGCUUUUCAAAACAAACAAGGAAGAGAACAGAAAAAAAGACUUGGAAGUCCAAUCUGCUCUGCUCAAUGCUAAGAAACCUCCCCGGGACAGACUGAUCUCCAGCUCCUGAAUUCAUGACUGCUCUCAAGGUUGAGUGAUGCUUCCAGUGGGUUGUUGUCCACGCCAAGUCUUCGCUGCCAUUCCACAGUCUUAUUCUCCCCUUGACUGGCUUGGGCAUCUCCAUGUGGACAAGUGCACAAGCCGACAGCCACCCGUGCCCUCUGUCCAGGGAGACUGCGGCCUCCUUGAGAUAACUUGGGAGGCUGGGAAACAUGAGCCUGACAGAGCUCUUACAUAGGAAAUGAUUAUUCUUUGCCUACUGAGAUUCUUACUUUAAAAAACCCAGAGGAAAUUGUAUUUUUAAAUUUAUUUAACAUUGAUGUGCAAUAUUUACAAUUACAAAAUGAUUCACAGUAUAACAGAAUGGAAAGAAAUUUUUACUUGGGUAUAUAAUUGUCUUUUCUUUCAUAUUAAUUUAUUCCUUUGAUUAAUAUAAUGUGUUCUCCACUUGGUCUUUUGAGAUCAUGUACAAUAGUAACACAUUUAGAAUAAUAUUAAUAAAAGAUUAUUUUGUAUCACUCAUAGGGAAAAUCAAGCAGCAUUUCUGUUCUUUAUAAAUGUUAUGCAAGAGAGCAUAAUAUAGUCCCCAGAAUACUGUCUGUAAUACCAGCUGUGUGUGUUCCUGGGGCUUGCAAAAUAUUCUUAGUGCCUGGUCCUUAUUUGUGUGUGUAUGUGUGUGUGUGCGCGUGUGUGUUGGGUCACUCUCCUCUUGUCCUGUAUGUGCAUGUGUGUGUGUGUUGGGUCACUCUCCGCUUGUCCUUGUGUGUGUGUGUGUGUGUGUGCAUGCGUGUGUGUUGGGUCACUCUCCUCUUGUCCUGUGUGUGCAUGUGUGUGUGUGUGUUGGGUCACUCUCC